rnacentral:tRNA from 1 species
GGGUAGCUCAGUGGUAGAGCGCUUGCCUGGUCUGUGUGGGGCCCUGGGCUCAAUCCCCAGCACCA